UCGAGGAUCUUCGGCAAUGGGGGCAACCCUGACCGAGCGACGCCGCGUGUGCGACGAAGGCCUUCGGGUUGUAAAGCACUGUCGAGGGGGAGGAAAGCCGUAAGGUUUGACCUAUCCCUGGAGGAAGCUCGGGCUAAGUUCGUGCCAGCAGCCGCGGUAAGACGAACCGAGCGAACGUUGUUCGGAAUCACUGGGCUUAAAGGGCGCGUAGGCGGACUGCCGCGUCCGGGGUGAAAUCCCACGGCUCAACCGUGGAACGGCCCCGGAUACGGGCGGUCUCGAGGGAGGUAGGGGCAUGCGGAACUACGGGUGGAGCGGUGAAAUGCGUUGAUAUCCGUGGGAACUCCGGUGGCGAAGGCGGCGUGCUGGACCUCACCUGACGCUGAGGCGCGAAAGCCAGGGGAGCAAACGGGAUUAGAUACCCCGGUAGUCC
rnacentral:rRNA from 1 species